GUCCUGAUCUCCUAAAUGCUGGGAUUACCAACGUUUGACUCUUUGGGUGGAAAGAUGAUAUCUAUUUUCUUACUUGGCAGCUAUGAAGAUCAUGUAUUGAUCUAUGAACACAGCUGUGACAUUGUAUAUUGUUCUCUUUGGAUGAGAUGGAGCCUAUAACCAGAUUAUAAUUAAACAAGAUAUGCUUACAUAUCUUGAUGGUUGCAGACUGGAUGGACAGAGCAGUACCAGUUCUCAUGGAGUUGACUGACAGUAAACAGGCAAUUGAAUCAAGAAUGCCAUGCGAUUAUGGCUAUGGAAAGAGGAAGAUCUGAGGGGGGCUGGUAGCACAGCCUGUUCCUGGAGCAAAAGCUAUA